rnacentral:rRNA from 1 species
CCUACGGGAGGCAGCAGUGAGGAAUAUUGGUCAAUGGUCGCGAGCCUGAACCAGCCAAGUAGCGUGAAGGAUGACUGCCCUACGGGUUGUAAACUUCUUUUAUAAAGGAAUAAAGUGCGGCACGUGUGCCGUUUUGUAUGUACUUUAUGAAUAAGGAUCGGCUAACUCCGUGCCAGCAGCCGCGGUCAUACGUAGGAUCCGAGCAUUAUCCGGAGUGACUGGGUGUAAAGAGUUGCGUAGGUGGCAUAAUAAGUAGCUAGUGAAAUCUGGUGGCUCAACCAUUCAGACUAUUAGCUAAACUGUUAAGCUUGAGACCGUUAGGGGUAACUGGAAUUUCUAGUGUAGGAGUGAAAGGCGUAGAUAUUAGAAGGAACACCAAUAGCGAAGGCAGGUUGCUGGGACGGUUCUGACACUAAGGCACGAAAGCGUAGGGAGCAAACGGGAUUAGAUACCCCAGUAGUC